CUAAAAUGAGAGUUUGAUCCUGGCUCAGGACGAACGCUGGCGGCGUGCCUAAUACAUGCAAGUUGAACGCAGAGGACAGGGGCUUGCACCAU
rnacentral:rRNA from 1 species